AAUUUUUGUUUGACUUAUAAUAAUUUUUAAUAUCAAUUAUUUGAUGUUUGGAUUGUAUCUAGAUUCUAGAUAUUUCAUUAUAAUAAUUACACCAACACAAAGAAGUCUAUUCUGAAAAUUAUAAUAAUAACAUUAAUUUAUUCAAAAAGAAGAAUAAAACAGGCAAAAGCCUGUUAAUAAUACAUAUGAUAAAAGCUAGAAAUUAUGUAUUAAGAAAUAAUAAAAUAAAGUACAUGAAAGUAUUUCAAAUAAUUUGUGCUGUGUGUUGGUAUAUAAAACAGAGAGGUUAAGUGGUUAUUGUAAACUAGAAUGUUUAAAGGGAUACUAAUUAAUAAAUCAGGAGGAUCAAUUUGAUUUGAUUUUAGUACAAUAAAGGAGUUUGAAUGAUCGCAAAUCUUUAAAUCUGAAAAGUUAACAAAACCUAAUAUUCGUAGAGACUUUUUGAUUACAUGCUUAAUGUGUUCCAAAAAAUUU